rnacentral:rRNA from 1 species
UGAGGAAUUUUGCGCAAUGGGGGCAACCCUGACGCAGCAACGCCGCGUGAGUGAUGAAGGUUUUCGGAUCGUAAAGCUCUGUCAAGGGGGAAGAAAGUCUUCGGCGCUAAUAUCGCCGAGGUUUGACGGUACCCUUGAAGGAAGCGCCGGCUAACUCCGUGCCAGCAGCCGCGGUAAUACGGAGGGCGCAAGCGUUAUUCGGAAUCAUUGGGCGUAAAGCGCGUGUAGGCGGUUUGGUAAGUCAGACGUGAAAGCUCCGGGCUUAACCCGGAAAGUGCGUUUGAUACUGCCAGACUUGAGUUCGGGAGAGGAAAGUGGAAUUCCCAGUGUAGAGGUGAAAUUCGUAGAUAUUGGGAGGAACACCGGUGGCGAAGGCGACUUUCUGGACCGAUACUGACGCUGAGACGCGAAAGCGUGGGGAGCAAACAGG